GCCGGGCAUGGUGGUUCAUGCCUGUAAUCCCAGCUACUUGGGAGGCUGAGACAUGAUAAUUGCUUGAACCCAGGAGGUAGAGGUUUCAGUGAGCCGAGAUCACCCACUGCACUCCAGCCUGGGCAACAAAGCAAGACCCUGUCUCAA
ensembl:misc_RNA Metazoa_SRP Metazoan signal recognition particle RNA